GAAAGUCUGAACAGAAGAAACUGAUGGGUAGGCUUUGCUAAAACCCUCUUUGUUCGCCGACUUGGACGAGCUGUGGGUUAGCUGAGUUACUGAGCACAUCGUGUUCUCGUAUCUGGAGGAAAACCGCUGUCAGAAGCAACGCGAAUGUCUGGAGUACACCGUGAUUUAUGGUGUCUGCGCCCUUCACUGCUGCUUCAGAAUUGCAAUUGCAGUUCUUGCACAGCUGUGUAGUUUUGGCAGCUGUUUACACGAGUGAAGCUAUCUCUGGCUGCAUGUUCUAUUGGCACAGCAUGCUCCAGAUCCACACGGUGCACUUGGAGGGCCCUGACAAAGUGAGAGAUCAUAGUACUGAACUGCAGCUGAUUUUGUGGCUUAGAAGGAAGAUAUUGCUCCAGUGAACUAAUAAGGAUAGCACCAUGUUUUUGAAGGCAGCAGUUUUAGUUUGGUUUUAUUACUUCAAGUUCUAUUCUACCCUCUUUGAAGGUAAGUAUAAAUUCUUGUGGUAUGUUCUAUGUAGCUUCACUUCUAGAUUCACAAUUGCCUUUCAUUGUCUUGAGUGCUAUUCUACUUGUAAGCUGCAGUAAAACUGUUAAAUGUGUUGGUUUGGGUUUUUUUUGGUGAAGCUGAGUGUGUUUACUAUGCUACUGCUAUACUUUUCCUGCUUAACAUACUAUUCCAUUUUCAAAUUGUUUACUUCCAAAUUUCAAAUCUUUCACUAGUUUCUUGAUCAGUAUCAGAGGUAAAUUGACACUCCCUAACAAUUUUCUUUAUCUGAAGAAAAUUGUCCCUAGCACAAUCUACAGACUGGUGUAUGGUGUCCUGCUGUUUUGCUGCUGUUAUAGGUGUCUAGGGAGGUAAUGCCCUUUAAUUUCAGCAAGAUUCUGCCAUGUGCCUACUUCUAUCUGUCAGAUUCACAUAUCACACAGGUAUUUCCCAUCUCGGGGAUGAAUAUAAAAGAUAUUUGACAUUUGUGGAUAAAUAUUUGGCUUCCACUCUUCCCUGAGACUUGCAGCUGUCAUAAUUUAGGAGAACUCAUGCUUACUGCCUGUGAAAGGCUGGACAGAGCUCCUGCCAGAGCCAUGAAAAUCCUCUCUUUGGUCAGCCAGCAGACUGGCUGUUGAGCAACUUGAGACCCUCCCUUUCCCCAGAGACUGGGUAUUUUUUUACUGCAGUGCUUCCAGGCACUCCUGCAUGGAGGAGAGAAAGCCAUUGGAAAUGUUUGGUCUCUUACCGUGAUGGUAUAGAAGGAACUGCAGAACUUGGCUGGCAAGGCAGAGUUUGAUAAGCACUCAGGCUCUCUAUAAAACAGAUUGUUUGUUUGGCAGUUGAUGACUCCUUUGGAAUCAGUAAUUACCAGGGCUGAGAGCAGGACUAAAGUUUAUAGUUUGCAGGUUAAAUAAUCCUCUCCUAAAAGAUGUGCAGGUUUUGAAAUAU
rnacentral:lncRNA from 1 species